rnacentral:rRNA from 1 species
UACGUAGGGGGCAAGCGUUGUCCGGAUUCAUUGGGCGUAAAGAGCUCGUAGGCGGUUUGUCGCGUCUGCCGUGAAAGUCCGGGGCUCAACUCCGGAUCUGCGGUGGGUACGGGCAGACUAGAGUGAUGUAGGGGAGACUGGAAUUCCUGGUGUAGCGGUGAAAUGCGCAGAUAUCAGGAGGAACACCGAUGGCGAAGGCAGGUCUCUGGGCAUUAACUGACGCUGAGGAGCGAAAGCAUGGGGAGCGAACAGG